UGAGGAAUAUUGGUCAAUGGACGCAAGUCUGAACCAGCCAAGUAGCGUGCAGGAUGACGGCCCUAUGGGUUGUAAACUGCUUUUAUAUGGGGAUAAAGUGGGGAACGUGUUCCCUUUUGCAGGUACCAUAUGAAUAAGGACCGGCUAAUUCCGUGCCAGCAGCCGCGGUAAUACGGAAGGUUCGGGCGUUAUCCGGAUUUAUUGGGUUUAAAGGGAGCGUAGGCCGUUUGGUAAGCGUGUUGUGAAAUGUAGGAGCUCAACUUCUAGAUUGCAGCGCGAACUGUCAGACUUGAGUGCGCACAACGUAGGCGGAAUUCAUGGUGUAGCGGUGAAAUGCUUAGAUAUCAUGAAGAACUCCGAUUGCGAUGGCAGCUUACGGGAGCGCAACUGACGCUGAAGCUCGAAGGUGCGGGUAUCGAACAGG
rnacentral:rRNA from 1 species